ACGGGAGGCAGCAGUGAGGAAUAUUGGUCAAUGGGCGAGAGCCUGAACCAGCCAAGUCGCGUGAAGGAUGAAGGUUCUAUGGAUUGUAAACUUCUUUUAUUCGAGGGUAAAGUGACGGACGUGUCCGUUAUUGCAAGUAUCGAAUGAAUAAGCAUCGGCUAACUCCGUGCCAGCAGCCGCGGUAAUACGGAGGAUGCGAGCGUUAUCCGGAUUUAUUGGGUUUAAAGGGUGCGUAGGCGGGCGAUUAAGUCAGCGGUGAAAGCGUGUGGCUCAACCAUACCAAGCCGUUGAAACUGGUUGUCUUGAGUGUAAACGAGGUAGGCGGAAUGUGACGUGUAGCGGUGAAAUGCUUAGAUAUGUCACAGAACCCCGAUUGCGAAGGCAGCUUACCAGCAUACGACUGACGCUGAGGCACGAAAGUGUGGGGAUCGAACAGGAUUAGAUACCCUGGUA
rnacentral:rRNA from 1 species